UUUCGUGAGUUUUCAUGGUCAAAAUGAGAGAUCAGGUGGCCGAUCUUAAAAUAAAUCAAUAUUGAUUUUUUUUAUAGAGCGUUAAAGUUUUGCGAAGCCAGGGGGCGGGACUACUUGAUUGACAGUCCGGUCUGGAAUGAUUGACAGGUCCUAUGGUGGAGGCAGCAGAGACUCUGCUCUCCUCGUUUGGAUUAAUUCUGAUAUAAUAACUGUUGGUUUAUUUAUCGGUGGAGCAGCACAACAUUUUCCACAGACAGUUUUCCUGCCCGUUGGCUUGUUUUAACCAGUUUUCUACCUUCGGCUGAUUCUACCAGCAGACACUGAAAGGACUCUGAUAGUUCGAGUGAAAGUAGCAGUUCCUCCUUAAGGUCAGAGAUUGCAGCAUCUGAGGGCCUCUUCAAAAGAAGACGUAGUUGAUGAAGGCGUUCUGGAGCAGGACCAGAAAGACCACGACCAAGCAGCCUUGAGAUCUUAGGCAGCAUCUCCCUCAGGUCCCUCUCUAUCUCCCCACACAUCCACCAACCACUGGAACACAUCUCCAAAGUUCUGCCGGGCCAGCUCAGCUUCCCCUCAGAAGAAGUGCCGCCACCUGCCAGAUGAAGGAGCCUUUUGAGAGGCAGCUGGCAUCGUGAUUGGACUGUACUUUGGUCUGUUCCAAUCCAGCUUCAGCUCCAGAGACGGCAGGCGGGACGAGUCAACGGAGGCCGGGUGGACGAAGGCAUGCAGCUGAGUACAAUCCAGAAAACAACAGAGGAGGAGUGCAGUGGCCCAGGGCCAGAACAAACAGAGUAGCAUCGUAUGUCUCUUAGAAAACAUCAUAGUAUAGCCUUUGGUAUGAAAAGACACCAUCAUAUACAUCGUAUAUUGUACAAAUAACAAGUCAAAGGAAAGAGACAUACAUUCUAGAAUUGUAGUAAUUCUGGGCUGACUGAUUUAC